rnacentral:rRNA from 1 species
UACGUAGGGUGCAAGCGUUAAUCGGAAUUACUGGGCGUAAAGCGUGCGCAGGCGGUUCGCUAAGACAGAUGUGAAAUCCCCGGGCUUAACCUGGGAACUGCAUUUGUGACUGGCGGGCUAGAGUAUGGCAGAGGGGGUAGGAAUUCCACGGUGUAGCAGUGAAAUGCGUAGAGAUGUGGAGGAAUACCGAUGGCGAAGGCAGCCCCCUGGGCCAAUACUGACGCUCAUGCACGAAAGCGUGGGGAGCAAACAGG